UCCCUGGAGGACUAGUGGUUAGGCCUCAGAGCUCUCACUACUGUGGCCCGGGUUCGAAUACUGGUCAGGGAA
rnacentral:tRNA from 1 species